rnacentral:rRNA from 1 species
CACGUAGGGCGCGAGCGUUGUCCGGAAUUAUUGGGCGUAAAGAGCUCGUAGGCGGUUUGUCGCGUCUGCCGUGAAAGUCCGGGGCUCAACUCCGGAUCUGCGGUGGGUACGGGCAGACUAGAGUGAUGUAGGGGAGACUGGAAUUCCUGGUGUAGCGGUGAAAUGCGCAGAUAUCAGGAGGAACACCGAUGGCGAAGGCAGGUCUCUGGGCAUUAACUGACGCUGAGGCGCGAAAGCUGGGGGAGCAAACAGG